rnacentral:RNase_P_RNA from 1 species
GUACUUGCGCAAGUAAUUGUGAGGAAAGUCCAUGCUCGCACAAACUGCGAUGUUUGUAGUGAUUGUACUAGAUGAAACAAUAAAUCUAGGCACAUAUUUGUGACGACGGAUCCUAAACCUAAGGUUGAUCUAUGGUUUAGUCCAUAAAGUGCCACAGAGACGAGACUUUAAGAAAUUGAAGUGUGAAACGCGGUAAACUCUGCAAGCGAGAAACCCAAAUUUUGGUCGGGGAACUUAGUUGUUGGGAAAUGAACUAACACUGAGCUAGGAAACUAGAGAUAAAUAAGUACCACUUAAUUGGACAGAACAUGGCUUAU